rnacentral:rRNA from 1 species
AUGGCCCAUUUGUUUCGCGUUCUUUGCACAACCCAUCCCCCUUCGAUCCCCGUCGCCCCCCUCCUAACCCCGUCAGUAAGUUCUCGCCUGCCCUCGCCUCGCCUCGCCUCGCCUCCCCUCCUUUUCCCUCGUCGUCUAGGUUUCUUCCAUCGGCCCAGCCACUGCUGCCGCCUUGUCCUCCCUGGCGAGCUCGCCAAGCACGCCGUCUCCGAGGGCAACAAGGCCGUCACCAAGUUCACGUUAGUCUGGUUCGGUCUGUUCGUGAUGCUUUUAGUGAUGGAUCGAAGUUGCUGA